rnacentral:lncRNA from 1 species
GUGGUGCCAGGGAUUGAACCCAGUGCCUCACACAUGCUAGGAAAGUGCUCUACCGCUGAGCCACAACCCCAGCCCCCCCCCCCAGCCCUUUUUAUUUUUAAUUUUUUGAGACAGGGGUCUCACUAGAUUGCUUGCAGUCUUGCUAAGUUGCUGAGGCUGGCUUCAAACCUGUGAUCUUCAUGCUUCAGCCUACCAAACCACUGGGAUUACAGGCAAGGCCCACCAUGCCUAGCUUACAACUUCUAAUCUACAUGUCCACUUGGUUCCAAAAGGCAUCACAAAUUUAACAUGCCCUAAGUCAAAUAUACACUAUUCUUCCUAACAAACUUAAUACUUUCGUAGUCUUCCCUAUUUCCCAGUUUUAGUACAUGGAAAUUCUGUUCUUCCAGUUCCUGAAACCAAAAAUGCUGGAAUCAUUCUUGAGUUCUCUCUGUCUCUCACAUCCCCCAACUAUUGAAUCAAGAAAAAUAAUUCUGACUGUGUCUUCAAAAUUUGAUGACUUCUCACCACCUCCACCAUCACACUUCUCCAAUUCUUAUCUAACAGUAGCCUCCUAACUCUCAUCUGGCUUAUUGUAGUAGCCUCUUGCCAAAUCCUAUGUGAAAGGCUCAAUAAUAUAAGGACUAAGAAAUGACCAAUGGAUUUGGCAAUAUGGAGACCACUGGUAACCUUGACAAGAUUGCUUUCACUGGAGCGCUAACCUGGAAAGAACUGGAUCCUAACAGAUCUGGAUUGCACUCUAUAGUGGACUCCUUUAUGCUCCCUCUCUUUCUUGACCCUGGAAUAAAUCACCAUUAAAAUUCCCAUUUCCAAGCUUUUGUAUUUGCCUGUUCCUUCUGACGUGGCCCACCUUCCUCCAGAUAGUCACAUCUACGUCUCUCCCCUGGAUUCAGGUACCUGUGAAAAAGAGCUUCUGGGAGAGUUCUUUUAUCAAGCUAUUUAAAAUAAGAUCCCUUACCCUCUAUUUUGCUUCUCAGUGCUUGUCACUAUCUGAAUGUAUCUGUUUACUAGAUGUCUCCCCAUUCCCUACACAUUCUAGAAUGUAAGCUCCAUGGGGGCAGGGC